rnacentral:rRNA from 1 species
UACGAAGGGGGCAAGCGUUGUUCGGAAUUACUGGGCGUAAAGGGCGCGUAGGCGGCUUACCAAGUCAGGCGUGAAAUCCCCGGGCUCAACCUGGGAACUGCGCUUGUGACUGCAAGGCUAGAGUACGGCAGCGGGGGGUGGAAUUCCACGUGUAGCAGUGAAAUGCGUAGAGAUGUGGAGGAACCCCAAUGGCGAAGGCAGCCCCCUGGGUCGAUACUGACGCUCAUGCACGAAAGCGUGGGUAGCAAACAGG